CUCCCUCCCCGCUGCCCUGCUGGGAACACCUACCCCCGCGCCCUCCCUUCCUCCUCCAGGACCACAUCUUGUCUCCGCCCUUUGGCGAGUCGCUGCUACACCUCUGCCUUUAGCUGCAGGUCCUGCAAAUGUUCCACGAACGCUUCAUCCACGACCCCAACAGACCCUAGGAUGCAUAGCGGCAGCAACAGCCCCUCCACGCUAGUCCUUUCUCACUAAGCCAGGAUGCCGGAGGGCCAGAGAUUGGCAUCAGUUUGGAGCCCAGCAGCCUCCGGAGGCCCUCCCUGCCUCUCACCUCACGCCGGAUGGAGGUUACUACUUGGCCAAACGAAGCAUUGACAGCUCAUAGAUGCUGGCCUUGACCCUGUGCAGAAAAAGACCCAGGAAAGGGUUCCUUUGUCCAACAUUCGUGAAGAACGAGCCAGCAGCUGUCAUCGGCACCCGGUUGGCUGGCACGUCCAUGUGGUGAAGCGACAGCGACGGUGCUCACCCCAGGACGGAGAGGUGGUGACUCAGGACAACUUGCCCCGUUCCCCAGGCGCGCCCAGCCAGCGCUGCAGCCACUCUGCUUCUGGGGCCUGGACGAGCUCCCCUCUCCUCCUGCCCCCACCCCUUCCCAGCCAAGGCCAGUCCAAGUGUAGGAGAAGCCUAGGACGUGCCAGGCUGCCAGGCUGCCAGGGCCCUAGAGGACCCCUCUGGCCAC
rnacentral:lncRNA from 1 species